AUGGGGGUUGGCUCCAACAAUUCUCAUUGGUCUCAAACCAAUGACAUGCAUUUCGAUGACCAUGAGUUCGAGGUGGACGAGGAUGGUGAGGGCAUUGUCGACACAACGAAAGGAAGAGGAGGCAACUACACCAAUGAUGAAGACGUCUUGCUAUGCAAUACUUGGUUGCAAGUGUCUAGAGAUCCAUCCGUUGGAGGGUGCCAUGGGUGGCUUUGGAGCUACCAUGGAGACCAUGGGAGGUGGGUGGCUUCGGAGCACCUCCGGGCGGCAUGGGCGGCAUGGGAGGCAUGAGUUUUGCGUCUCUCAUGGGAGGCAUGGGAGCACCUCCGGGUGGCAUGGGUGGAAUGUCUUAUGGUGUGCCUCACACACCUUCGCAUGAUGCCGUUGAAGAUUUUGCCAACACCUUCCGAGCUUCACAUGAUGAUGCGGCGCGCGACAAUGAAGAGGAGAAGGAAGAAUUGUCUUCGGAUGAUGAAUCGGAGGAAGAGGAAGAUGAAGACGAGGACGAGGCUUGAUUGUUGA
rnacentral:rRNA from 1 species